CGCCGACGAGCCCGGCUCUGGUGACCGCCGCGAGCGACUCGGCGUCGCGCGAUUCUACCAGGGCCUUGGCGCCGGCGACCGGGUCCCACGGAAAGCCAUUGGCCAAAAGGCGGCAUAAGGCAAAGGUCUGGUGGCGCUCGACGGCGCGCAGGCAAAACUUGGCCAGCCGCGGACACGCGCGCUCACUCGCCAUGAACCACGCAUCGCCACCCAGGGGGCUCGACACGGCCUCUAACAUACACUCUUGGACGUCCCAUGCGAGGCCGCGUGCAAUGAUCCGCUCCAGGCUGUCGGUAUCGUCCAUCCACGCCAUAUAGGCCGCCAUCUCGGGGUCCCACGGCACCCCAGCGUCAAGAAGCGCCUCGACCAUAUCUGUGUCGUACUCUCGGACGGCCUUGCGCACGUGCCAGGGCUCCCAUCGGUAUCCGCGCGUCGCCAAGAGAGGAACCGACGCAGCGUCGCCCGAUUCGAGUAUGGUCCGCGCCGCGUUGUCGACGUCGGCGCUCUUUGGAUCAAAGGGACAACCCGAUUCGAGCACCAGGGCCAACCACGCCGAGCCCCGCCGCACUGCCAGGGUGCACGUGCGGUCGCUCCACGGGCAGCCAUGCGCAAUCAGGUAGCGCAGGCACGCCAUGUGUGCCUCGCCGCGCUCGCUCUGUGAAUGGGUGAAACCCUUGGGGUUGAGCGCAGCGUCCAUGGCCUCUGCGUCCAACGGGCAUUCGCCCUCGUGCAGACGCACAAGGCACGCAAGGUUGCCGGCGGCGGCCGCCGACACCACCGUCUCGGUGGCACCUUUGGCGCUACGUGUCCCAUUGUUGGCGCAACGAGUCGUCGCCGGCUGGGUGUGCAGGGCGCCGGCCGGCAUGGGCGUUGUUGGAGAAUGCGACAUGUGCACAGUGGAUCGCAAGGUCGGGCGUUGCUGGCCAGACGGUUGCGUGGUCGACGAGGAGUGAAAUACAGGAAACCGCGCCAUUCUCCCCUUUUUUUAUUAUUGUCA
rnacentral:lncRNA from 1 species